AUAGCUCUCAAAAGAGUGGUUGAAUCCAUUGCCAAUGGUGAUUCUCAUGUGCAUCCCUUUAAAGUGUGGCAAUUGCGGUGGAGAAGGGCAUAAUUGAAUUAGUUGCAAGGAACCUAGAAAUCCCAACAUAAAGCCUAUUAUGAAGAGAAAAGUUGCCAAGGAAAAACUUCCAGUAAGAAGGAGAGAUGCUGGAGACCAAAGUAGCGGACAACAAAGUAUGCAACUAAGGCAAAGGAGACAAACUAGUGCUUCCCCAGGGCCUUCUCAAUCCCAAGCAUUUGAAGUAUCUGAGGCUUCUCAAUCCCAACCAUGUCAACCAGCGCAGGCUUCUCAAUCCCAACCAUCUCAAGCAGUUGAUGCUUCUCAAUCCCAACC